rnacentral:rRNA from 1 species
UACGAGAGGCGCAAACGUUAUUCGGAUUUACUGGGCUUAAAGAGUUCGUAGGCGGCGCAGAAAGUAGGGUGUGAAAGCCCUCGGCUCAACCGAGGAAUUGCGCUCUAAACUACUGUGCUCGAGGGACCUAGAGGUGAGCGGAACUGAUGGUGGAGCGGUGAAAUGCGUUGAUAUCGAGAUCAGGAACACCGGAGGCGAAGGCGGCGUCACUGGGGGUCUUCUGACGCUGAGGGAACGAAAGCCAAGGGGAGCGGAACGGG